rnacentral:rRNA from 1 species
GACGAACGCUGGCGGCGUGCCUAAUACAUGCAAGUAGAACGCUGAAGAGAGGAGCUUACUCUUCUUGGAUGAGUUGCGAACGGGUGAGUAACGCGUAGGUAACCUGCCUUGUAGCGGGGGAUAACUAUUGGAAACGAUAGCUAAUACCGCAUAACAAUGGAUGACACAUGUCAUUUAUUUGAAAGGGGCAAUUGCUCCACUACAAGAUGGACCUGCGUUGUAUUAGCUAGUAGGUGAGGUAAUGGCUCACCUAGGCGACGAUACAUAGCCGACCUGAGAGGGUGGUCGGCCACACUGGGACUGAGACACGGCCCAGACUCCUACGGGAGGCAGCAGUAGGGAAUCUUCGGCAAUGGGGGCAACCCUGACCGAGCAACGCCGCGGGAGUGAAGAAGGUUUUCGGAUCGUAAAGCUCUGUUGUAAGUCAAGAACGGGUGUGAGAGUGGAAAGUUCACACUGUGACGGUAGCUUACCAGAAAGGGACGGCUAACUACGUG